rnacentral:snRNA from 1 species
CUCACUUCCACAGGACAGAUACUACACUUGGAAUGAUACAGAGAAGGUCACAGAGGCUCCUGUGCAAGGAUGGCACACGAAUCCAUACAGCAUUCUGUAGUUUU